rnacentral:rRNA from 1 species
UACAGAGGUCCCAAGCGUUGUUCGGAUUCACUGGGCGUAAAGGGUGCGUAGGCGGUCGGGUAAGUCUGACGUGAAGUCUUCAAGCUUAACUUGGAAACUGCGUCGGAUACUAUUCGGCUAGAGGAAUGGAGGGGAGACUGGAAUACUUGGUGUAGCAGUGAAAUGCGUAGAUAUCAAGUGGAACACCAGUGGCGAAGGCGAGUCUCUGGACAUUUCCUGACGCUGAGGCACGAAAGCCAGGGGAGCAAACGGG